rnacentral:rRNA from 1 species
AUUGAACGCUGGCGGCAGGCCUAACACAUGCAAGUAGAGCGGUAGAGAGAAGCUUGCUUCUCUUGAGAGCGGCGGACGGGUGAGUAAUGCCUAGGAAUCUGCCUGGUAGUGGGGGAUAACGUUCGGAAACGGACGCUAAUACCGCAUACGUCCUACGGGAGAAAGCAGGGGACCUUCGGGCCUUGCGCUAUCAGAUGAGCCUAGGUCGGAUUAGCUAGUUGGUGGGGUAAUGGCUCACCAAGGCGACGAUCCGUAACUGGUCUGAGAGGAUGAUCAUUCACACUGGAACUGAGACACGGUCCAGACUCCUACGGGAGGCAGCAGUGGGGAAUAUUGGACAAUGGGCGAAAGCCUGAUCCAGCCAUGCCGCGUGUGUGAAGAAGGUCUUCGGAUUGUAAAGCACUUUAAGUUGGGGGGAAGGGCAGUAAAUUAAUACUUUGCUGUUUUGACGUUACCGACAGAAUAAGCACCGGCUAACUCUGUGCCAGCCGCCGCCGUAA